rnacentral:rRNA from 1 species
UACGUAGGGGGCAAGCGUUGUCCGGAAUUAUUGGGCGUAAAGAGCGUGUAGGCGGUCCGUUAAGUCGGCUGUGAAAGUCCAAGGCUCAACCUUGGGAUGCCGGUCGAUACUGCCGGACUAGAGUUCGGAAGAGGCGAGUGGAAUUCCCGGUGUAGCGGUGAAAUGCGCAGAUAUCGGGAGGAACACCUAUGGCGAAGGCAGCUCGCUGGGACGUUACUGACGCUGAGACGCGAAAGCGUGGGGAGCAAACAGG